rnacentral:rRNA from 1 species
UCAGCAGGCCGCGGUAAUACGAAGGUGGCGAGCGUUGUUCGGAUUUACUGGGCGUAAAGGGUGCGUAGGCGGCUUUGUAUGUCGGGUGUGAAAGCCCACGGCUCACCCGUGGAAUUGCAUUCGAAACUGCAAAGCUUGAGUAUCGGAGAGGUAAGUGGAAUUCUUGGUGUAGCGGUGAAAUGCGUAGAUAUCAAGAGGAACACCGGUGGCGAAGGCGACUUACUGGACGAAUACUGACGCUGAUGCACGAAAGCUAGGUUAGCGAAGAGGAUUAGAUACCCUCGUAGUCCUAGCCGUAAACGGUGUGCACUUGGUGUAGGAGGAUUUAUCCCCUUCUGUGCCGGAGCUAACGCGUUAAGUGCACCGCCUGGGGAGUACGGUCGCAAGAUUAAAACUCAAAGGA